GGGAGCUGCAAUCUAUAGACUCAGAUCAAGAAAAGCCGUUUAUCUUAUCUUUUCUGCUGAAGCCAAACCGUGGAGAUUUUGUUAAUACAAUGAUAGUGGCAAACUCUGUCUUCUGCAGAUGUACAAGCUCCUCCAAAGUAGAAAACUGGUGGGUGUCGUUUGACUGUUGCAGCGAAAAAGGUGUUAAUCUGUUCUACUAUUGUUCAGACUCUACUGGACACUGAACCACUGAAGUGAACAAGCAGAGAUGGAUUACUGUUGGUUUUGGAAGAAUGAGAGAUAUAAAUCAAAGUCAUCGUCCUCAACCAAUGUCCUUGCAAAACGCAGG